AGUGAACGCUGGCGGUAGGCCUAACACAUGCAAGUCGAACGGCAGCACAGUAAGAGCUUGCUCUUACGGGUGGCGAGUGGCGGACGGGUGAGGAAUACAUCGGAAUCUACUUUUUCGUGGGGGAUAACGUAGGGAAACUUACGCUAAUACCGCAUACGACCUACGGGUGAAAGCAGGGGAUCUUCGGACCUUGCGCGAUUGAAUGAGCCGAUGUCGGAUUAGCUAGUUGGCGGGGUAAAGGCCCACCAAGGCGACGAUCCGUAGCUGGUCUGAGAGGAUGAUCAGCCACACUGGAACUGAGCCACGGUCCAGACUCCUACGGGAGGCAGCAGUGGGGAAUAUUGGACAAUGGGCGCAAGCCUGAUCCAGCCAUACCGCGUGGGUGAAGCAGGCCUUCGGGUUGUAAAGCCCUUUUGUUGGGAAAGAAAAGCAGCAGGUUAAUACCCCGCUGUUCUGACGGUACCCAAAGAAUAAGCACCGGCUAACUUCGUG
rnacentral:rRNA from 1 species